AGCGAACGCUGGCGGCAGGCCUAAUACAUGCAAGUCGAACGGAUCCUUCGGGAUUAGUGGCGGACGGGUGAGUAACACGUGGGAACGUGCCCUUUGGUUCGGAACAACUCAGGGAAACUUGAGCUAAUACCGGAUAAGCCCUUCGGGGAAAGAUUUAUCGCCAUUGGAGCGGCCCGCGUCUGAUUAGCUAGUUGGUGGGGUAAAGGCCUACCAAGGCGACGAUCAGUAGCUGGUCUGAGAGGAUGAUCAGCCACACUGGGACUGAGACACGCCCAGACUCCUACGGGAGGCAGCAGUGGGGAAUUGUUCGCAAUGGGCGCAAGCCUGACGACGCAACGCCGCGUGGAGGACGAAGAUCUUCGGGUCGUAAACUCCUGUCGAGUGGAAAGAAUAAUUCGGGGAU
rnacentral:rRNA from 1 species